rnacentral:tRNA from 1 species
GCGGGUGCUAGUUUAGUGGCAAAACGUUUGCAUAUGAGGCAUGCUGAUUAUGCAAAAAUCGAGGGUUCAAAUCCCUUCACCCGCU